rnacentral:misc_RNA from 1 species
GUCGCCACGCUUGAGGAAGGUUAACUUCAGAUGUCAGUGAUGGAGCCAGAAGAGAACAUUGCGAUGGCCACUCCGGUGCUGGCCAUCAGCAACAAGGCAGUAAAGAACAAGAGAAGGAAGAUGGAGGACCGAACGGUGCUAGUCCACGACCUCAGAGGGGUAACGGACAAAAAGCUUCCGGACCAUUACGGCUUUUACGGCGUCUUCGACGGCCAUAUCGGCUACGACGCAGCUGCGUACUGCACCCAGCACAUGGCUCGCAAUCUGGCCGAAUCGCCGCAGUUCCCCGACAAGCCGCACCUGGCCUUUAUCGACGCGUUCUCCACCACCGACAAGGGCUUCAACGCGACGGGCAGUAACGCGGGCGCUGCGGUUGUGGCCGCGCUCAUCUCCAGUACACACCUGCACGUGGCAUGGAUCGGUGACUGCCAGGCGGUACUCAGCAGGGCCGGUCUGCCCGUGCGCGUCGUCAACCCGCACAAACCCGAGCGGCCGGACGAAAAGGCGCGCAUUGAGCAGCUGGGCGGCUUUGUCAAUUUUUACGGUUCCUAUCGGGUCAACGGCGUUCUGUCGGUGUCACGAGCCCUCGGUGACGAAAACUUUCGUCCGUUCGUGAGCGACCGGCCGGACGUAACGACUGUGGAGCUGGAUGGCACCGAGGACUUCCUAUUGCUGGCCUGCGACGGUUUCUUCGACGUGAUCGAUGCUGAGCAGACGGUGCGGAUGGUCAUGAACGACAUGGAGGAGAACCCAAACGAUUUCGCCGGUCUGGCCGAGCGUCUGGUGCGCACGGCCGUCGACCUGCGCUCCUCCGACAACAUCUCUGUGGUAGUGCUGCGUCUGGGAGGUCCAGUCGACACCACAGACGCUGCGGCGGCCACCCCCAGCGGCCGCGCGCCGGGCUCCAUCCGUAGCACGGACCCUUCCAUCGCGGCCGGCGGUGGCUGUGCCAGCGCCAGCGCCUCGCUGCUCGUGGACGAGAGUCUGGGAGGAGACGUGCCGCGGGUGGACUUUGACAGUCCGAGUCAGGGUCAGAUAACACCGGACAUGUUCAACGUCUCGGCGGCGUCUGGAGGCGCCGUCGAGCCGUCGGACUCCGGGUUCGACAUUGAGCGAGAGGUGAACCGGAUGCUGACGGGAGGAGGACGCGUGGAGAGAGACACGCCGUCGCCGACGACACAGACAUCGAACACUGAGCCGCCCCAUGUGGCGCCUGGAGGUUCAGGCGAGCCUGCGGAAGCUCCUCAAAAUGUGGAUAACGUGCUAUCCGAGAUCGACGGUCUCCAGGAGGUGGACAGUGACGUAGUGGAAGACGACGACGACGACUCGAGCAGCGAGGAGGACGCCCAGUGGAGCUACGUCGACGUCAGUCCCAGCGGAGCGGUGACCAAGACGCCCGUGUCGGUGACGCCUGUGGCCUCCGGAGCCUGCGCCAUGGAGUCCGGAGGAGGUGCCGAGCCCGGCUCGCCCCUGAACCCCGCUGCUGCCGAGUUCACGCCCGCCGGACACGACCUGAACCCCGGCGCGGCAGAGUUCGUGCCCGGCCAGCCGCCCGCCGCCGCUGCCGUCCCGGCAGAGGAGUACGAGUACGGCCAGGAGGGCGUGGCCGAGGCUGGCGGGACGUCGUCGACGGAUGAGAUCCUGGCUCGUCUGAGUGGCGGGAUCUCUGCGUUCGCGGAGCAGCUGGAGGAGAGUAUCGCUGCUGUCGCCGAGAGGUCGGCGGAGAAGAUGGCUGAACAGCAGGCUGAGCUGCGGACUGAGGAGUCGUCUAAGCCACCCGCAGGAGAGGCGACGGAGCAACCGGCUGAGGGCCAGGAUACCGACUUCUUCUCCCAGCUCGGAGAAGGCGUCUCGUCACUGACACAACAAAUCCAGAGGGGCAUUCAGGAGGGCAUUCAGGAGGGUAUGGACCACGCCGCCAAUCCGGCUGCCGAACAACCUACCGGUGAGACUCAGGACGCGGCGCCGGUGUCCGAGCAGACUUCCGAGAACACCGAGGGGAAGCAGGACCAGGGCGUGGACCUGCUGUCUCAGUUCAGCGCCGGCGUCACGGACUUUGUCCACCAGGUUCAGGACUCGGUCACUGCUGCGUACACGUCUGGCGAGCCUGAGAAGGCCGGGGACGCAGCGACGGACGCGGUGGCGGAGCCUACAAAGGAGCCAUCUGCCGGAGAGGGCGGCGACUUUUUCUCACAGCUGUCUGGCGGUGUGUCUUCUCUGGCGCAUCAGAUCCAGGAGGGCAUUCAGGAGGGCAUCCAGGAGGGCAUGGCGCGCGUCUCCGCGGCUGAGCCCUCGGCGGACGCUGGAGAGGAGAAGGCUGGAGACGCAGCACCCCAGCCGCCGUCUGAACAGCCCGGCCUCCUCUCCCAGCUGAGCGAGGGAGCGUCUGCGCUGGUCCACCAGAUCGAGGAAAGUCUGACAUCCGCGCAGGAGGCGGCCGCCGCCAAAGCGGCCGAAGCCGACUCGGCAGUGCAGGAAGGCGCUGAGGAGGCGCAGGAGGCGACAAAUGAUGCGCUCAAUGCGGCUGGCGAUGCGGCCAACGCUGGACUGGCGAAGGUGGAGGGUGCGGCAGACUCCGCCGCGCGAGGACUGGAGGAGACGCUACAGUCAGCCGCUGAUCAGGCGGAGCGCGUCACUUCUUCAGCCGCAGACUCUGCGGAGCACUCUGCUGGACAGGCGGAGGACUUCUUGCAGCAGGCGGCGGGGGAGGCAAACGACACUGUGGAAGAAGCGGCGGGGAAGGCGGAGACCUUCUUGGAACAGGCGGCGGGGCAGGCAAACGAUAUGACGGAACAGGCAGCGGAAUCUGCGGAACAGGCUGCAGGGAAGGCGGAUAACUUCUUGGAACAGGCGGCGGGACAGGCGAACGUCAUGGCAGAGCAGGCAGCGGAAUCUGCGAAACAGGCUGCAGGGAAGGCGGAGGACUUCUUGGAACAGGCGGCGGGGCAGGCAAACGACAUGGCAGAGCAGGCAGCGGAAUCUGCGGAGCAGACUGCAGGGAAGGCGGAGGACUUCUUGGAACAGGCUGCAGGAAAGGCGGAGAACCUGCUGGAACAGUCGUCUGGCCAGGCGGAGGACGUAGCGGAACAGGCGGCGGAGAAGGCAGAACAGGUGGCUGAGAAGGCAGACACCUUGUCCGAACAAGCGGCGGAGAAGGUUGAAAACGCUGUUGAGAAGGCCGAGGACAUGACGGAGCAGGCGACUGGGAAGGCUGAGGAUAUGGCUGAACAGGCGGUUAAGAAGGCGGAGGAGACGGCUCAGUCCGGGUCCGAGCAGCUAGAGAGUGCCGCGGAGACGGCAGCCGAGGAAACAGCCGGUCUGCCACAGUCACCGGCUCAACAGGAGACACUGCGGAGAAGAAACCCGCCGACAAGCCCAAAUCUGCCGCCGCUGCGACCAAAACCAAACCCGGUGCCACCGCCAGCAAGGCCAAGCCGACUGCGACCAAGUCUACCCGGCCGACGACUGGCACGGCGGCGAAACCCGCGUCUCCUGCCACUGCUCGCACUGCCGCUAAGGUGGGAGCGGCCGCGCGGACCUCUCCUACAAAGACGCUGGCGGCGAAGGCUCCGGCUGCUGCCAAGGCGAGUCCCAAGCCGACGGCGACAACGGCGGCUCGCACCGCCGCUUCGAAACCUGCGCCCAAGCCGGCUGCUUCGACCGCAGCUCCGCGACCGGCCGCGGCCAAGACGACCGCCGCCCGACCGGCUUUGUCGAAAACGGCCUCUGGCACGGGGACCAAAACGACCACAGCCGCCGCCAAGCCGGUAGUGGGUGCUGCGAGGGCGACCACCUCUCCUACAAAGACGGCUGCCAGUCGGGUGGGCGCGGCUCCCUCCACGGCGCGGACGACGGCCGCCCGCCCUGCCGCCAGCGGCGCUCCCAAGGCCCCCACUGCCCGGUCAGCCUCGGGCACCACCCGUCCCGCUACCACCGCGGCACGCACCACGGCCACCACUGCACACAAAUCCCCCACCAAACCGGCCGCAGCCAAACCCGCCGCGCCGAAACCCACCUCGGCGAGGACCGCUGCACCAAAGCCCGCUCGCCCAGCGCCGGGCGCGGCCACUAAGACCACCCCGGGACGAGUGGCGCCGACCCCGCGCGCAGCCACUACUAACGGGGCGGGCCCGAAGAAGCCGGCGGAGGUGAAGAUGACUGCGGCGGCCAGCAAGGUGACGGGAACCAUGGCGUCCCGCGCGGCGGCCCGGGCGGCUGCGGCUUCGACAGCGGCGCCGGCGAACGCCGCCGGAGCCAAGAAGCCAACCACCACGGCGGCGAAACCGGCCGGCCACCGACUCUCGAUCGGCCGCACCAAGCCGGGCGCCGCCGCCAGCAAAACAGGCAAGGCCAAAUCACCCACCAAGGAGCCUGCAAAGGCCGCGGAGUCGGAGCUGCCACCCGUGGCCGACUGUGUGUCGGAGUCCGACAAACUGCCGUCCGAUGGCGCUGGAGACGCACCGGCCAACGUGAACGGCUCACCGACCGAGAACGGGGCCCCGCACGAGAACGGCGACCACGUGGACGAGCCCGCGGCGCACGUGGAAACGGGAGACCUGCUGGGGUCGGGCCUCGAGCCAGCGGCUGCCUCCGAGGCCAUAUGAGCUCCCGAGGAGAAAAACACGAACCCCGUUUGGUGCUCGCUGACACCGAAUUUGCGCUAGUGACGAACAAUGGCCUGCAAGGCGCGUCAACACACAAACGCUUGUGAUACGUGGUCGCAUCGAAGCAGUGAAUUGCUGCGAAGAACUGCUGGGCUCGGGCGCUGGCCCUGCACUGUGGUGCGCGUGCGCCCAAGGAAGUGUGCGAAUAGUGCGUGAGUGAUUGUGCGAUGAGUGCGUGAAUCGAAGCGUGAUUGUGAAAGAAUGAAUGCGAGUUCCUAUGAGUGUUGUGCCUGCGCUGCCGGCCGCUCUGCGGAGCGCGGAGGCGGCUGUCGGGCAGGUGCGCCGCUUUGGGGCGCUGCCGUUGGAAGCCCGCUAUUUUCACAUGUGUUGUAAAACGUAUUUUACUGAAGUCUGCUGCAAUGUUGGCGUCUGGAUGUGUCGGCUUGCGCGCCAGCGGCGAGGUGAAGAAGCUCUAGUUCAUGCUGUGCUCGCCAGGUGUGAAGCGUCUGCAGCGUCCGCUGGACCGCCGCACGCCCGUUUUAUCGUCACCGGCGCGGUCUUUGCGCGCUCUGGCGCUGUGUGCACGCUACUGUUCGCUGUUUCCGUCCGGGCGUCUCACGUGGGGCUUGUGCCUUCUGUGCCGCGUCCGCACCGUUUUCAACCGCCUCUGCUGGUCACACAGUCUGUCGUGUCGCGUCGGCUAGAUUUUUCGCUUCGUUCGGUCUUCCAUCGGCAAGGAACCGUCCGCAAUGAAGGCUGCUCGCGGCCCGACGCCGCCCCACAAAUCGUGUUAUGUGUUUUACUACUAUUAUAUUUCAGCAAAGCCCAAUAUACAGAACUAGUUUUUGA